AGCACGUCUAGUCUGGCCAGGUCCUGGUCGAGGGUUAAGUCGUGCACUUGAGGCUUUUGGGGUAUUUCGUACCUGUGACCUUGUUUUAGGACGAUUUUUCGGAAUUGCUCCGGUGUACGACAAAUUCGCCGCGGCAUUUUCCCCACUCUGUAAUUUCGAUUGAGAUUGUGAACGCAACGGUAACGAACACAGCUGCCUACAAAUCGGGCAUGUCUCAUUGGAUGUCAACCAAUCCGAUAAACACGACCUAUGGUAUUUGUGUUUGCAAUGGGUUUCUACAAUGUCGGUGUCCUGGCUAGUAUCAUUGCAUAUAGUGCAGUGUACGACUACCUCGCCGAGAUUAACAUUUAUAUUGUCAAUACUUCGCCUUACCGCCAUUGUAAAAAAUUAUGAUUAAGGAAAAACUAUAUAAGUUAUAUAACGAUAUGGUCUUUAAGACCAGAAAGAUUUUUUAUUUUUUUUGAUUCUAAAUUCGAAAAUAUGGGCAAUGAUUGGGAGGGUCUCCUACCAGGCACCAGCACAGCAGAAGGAAUGUCUUCGGUUGUUAUAACCUUAAGUCCGUAAGCAGAAAGAAAGAAAAGAAAAUUUGGUUGAUGAUCCUUUCGAGAAAAGGAGGAACAGGACCGAAUUCUCCAGUCUGAACAAGUCUCAACUAAUCUCGAGAGAAUAAAGGUCAUUCAUCUUCGCUACUAGGUAUAGAACCAAUUUACUCAGAACUAUCGUUCCUAGUAUCCUGAUGAAAUGAUAUAAUGAAGUCUACUGUGAUCUUCUUCUAUGCAAUAUAUCCACUGGUCUCGGUCCGACAAUGAUCAGAUUCCCAGCGGUUCCGAGCUGGAUAUAUAUCACAAAAACAGAACUACUUUAAAAUUUGGAUCAAUAUUGGGUUGCGGAAGGGAUUGGGGAAGGUUAUUGGGGAAAACGGACCAUUCGUGCCCCACGUUGGGCGCCAUUUAUUAUGUAACGGACACGGGAAGUGUCGUCUCGUCAGCACUCUCUGUCUACUAAAAGUUUGCCGGCUAGGCUCAGGGAAAAUGGGGUGGGUGGUGUGCUG
rnacentral:lncRNA from 1 species